GGAGGGUGCAAGCGUUGUUCGGAUUCACUGGGCGUAAAGAGCAUGUAGGCGGGGGGUCGGCCAGUCCCGUGUGUAAUCUCCCGGGCUCAACCGGGAAACUGCACGGGAUACUACUGAUCUUGAGUGCGAGAGAGGAUGGCGGAAUUCCUGGUGUAGCGGUGAAAUGCGUAGAUAUCAGGAGGAACACCGGUGGCGAAGGCGGCCAUCUGGCUCGACACUGACGCUGAGAUGCGAAGGCCCGGGGGAGCAAACAGGAUUAGAUACCCUGGUAGUCCCGGCAGUAAACGUUGGACACUAGGUGUAGGGGGUUCGACCCCUUCUGUGCCGCAGUUAACGCAUUAAGUGUCCCGCCUGGGGAGUACGACCGCAAGGUUG
rnacentral:rRNA from 1 species